UUGAAAGGGAAACGAUUGAAGUCAGUCGUACUAACGGGGAAUCAACCUUUUGAGGGUGGACUUGUGGGAUUCAGAGUGCCUUUGUUUUUCACAACCUGCUUUUUUUGGGUGUAUUUUCUCGUAUUGUAGGUCAACAUCGGUUUCGACCGUUAUAAAAUGACUGGAGGAAUGUAGCUUCGAUCUCGUAUUGAAGUGUUAUAGCCUUUGGUAGAUGUAAUGAUCGAGAUCGAGGAUUGCAACGAAUACCCUUUUGGGCUAUCCGUCUGAUCUCUGAUACGUUGCCUCGGUAACGAAAGCGUGCUUACGGUAUUGAGGUAUUACGGUCAAUAGGUUAGAACGUGAUUACAUUCGUUAAGGAUGUUGACGUA
rnacentral:rRNA from 1 species